rnacentral:rRNA from 1 species
AUGGCGGCGGCGUCGGCAGCUGCUGCGGCGUGCCGCAGGGCCGUCUCCAGCACCCUCCGCGGCCCGCCGAUAGAGAGCCUGGCCGCGACGGCCGCGCGCGCCGCCGCCCCCACCGGCGACCAGUUCGUGGACCUCCUCGACGCCAACUUCAACAGGCCGGCCCCGCCGCCGCCCCCCAAGACGCGCACGGAGAACAACUCCCCGACGUUCGCCACCUCGGGCGACCCCUGCCUCGACUUCUUCUUCCACGUUGUCCCGGGCACCCCGGCCGGCACCGUGUCAUCGCUCCUCGCCAACGCCUGGGCCGCCGAGCCGACCACCGCGCUCCGCCUCGCCUGCAACCUCCGCGGCGUGCGCGGCACCGGCAAGGCCGACCGCGAGGGGUUCUACGCCGCCGCGCUCUGGAUGCACGGCUCCCACCCCGCCACGCUCGCCCUCAACGCGCGCCCCGUCGCCGAGUUCGGCUACCUCAAGGACCUCCCCGAGAUCCUCCACCGCAUCAUCCACGGCGGCGUCUCCACCAGGAAGCCGGGGAAGCAGGCCCGCCUCGCCGCCGAGGGAGGAGGGCUCGUCGCCCGCGCGCACGCCAUCCCCGCCUACGCUCGCUUCGCCCGUUUCCGAUCUCGUACGCGUACGCCGCGCCCCGGCCGGAGGAUUGAGGUGUCGGGGCUCGCGCGCCGCAACAAGAAGCGCACGAGGAGGGCGCGCAUUGCUGCCAGCCAGAGGCGUGAUCUGGAGGAGGCCGCCCAGGCCGCCGUCGCGCGCAGGAAGAAGCGCACGGACGCCGCGGCGACGGCCGUCCAGAGGUACACCCGCGACCAGAACUACCGCCUCCUGCACGACAUGACGGCGGAGGUGUUCGCCGACCUUCUCGCCGAGGACCUGAAGAAGCUCGCGGCAGGCAACAUGGAUCUCUCGCUGGCCGGGAAGUGGUGCCCGUCAGUCGACAGCUGCUACGACCGCUCCACGCUCAUCUGCGAGGCCAUCGCGCGCCGCCUCUUCCCCAAGGGCUCGGCCCGCGAUCUUCCCGAGGACUUGCCGGACGCGCACUACGCCUACCGCGUGCGCGAGCGCCUCCGCAAGGAGGCCUACGUGCCGCUCCGCCAUGCCCUGAAGCUCCCCGAGAUCUUCAUCUCGGCGGGCGAGUGGGCGAAAGUGGUGUACACGCGCGUGUCCUCCGUCGCCAUGAAGAACUACAAGGAGCACUUCGUCUACUACGACCAAGCGCGCUUCGCCCGCUACCUGGCCGACGUCGAGGCCGGCAAAGUGAAGAUAGCGGCGGGCGCGCUGCUGCCGCACGAGAUCCUGACGUCCGCCUACUUCGACCCCGAGGUCGCCAACCUGCAGUGGAAGCGCACGGUGGACGACCUGCUGGCGCUGGGCAAGCUCAACAACUGCCUCGCCGUGUGCGACGUGUCUGGCAGCAUGUCCGGCCUCCCAAUGGACGUCUGCGUCUCGCUGGGCCUCCUCCUCUCGGAGCUCUGCGACGAGCCGUGGCGCCACCGCGUCAUCACAUUCAGCAUGCGGCCGCAGCUGCACCACGUCGUCGGCGACACCCUCUGGGAGAAGGCCCAGUUCGUCCAGCGCAUGGAGUGGGCCAUGAACACCGACUUCCAGGCCGUGUUCGACCAGCUCCUCCACGUGGCCGUCGCGGGCAAGCUGCCCCCCGAGAGCAUGGUGAAGAAGGUGUUCGUGUUCAGCGACAUGGAGUUCGACCAGGCGUCGGCCAGGCCGUGGGAGACGGACUACGAGGCCAUCACGAGGAAGUACACCGAGGCCGGGUACGCCGACGCCAUACCGCAGAUCGUCUUCUGGAACCUGCGCGACUCGAGGUCCGUGCCGGUCACGUCGGAGCAGAAGGGGGUGGUGCUCGUCAGCGGCUUCUCCCAGAACAUGCUCAAGCUCUUCCUCGGCCCAGAGGAAGAAGAACAGAAGGUAGAAGAAGAAGAAGAACUACAAAAGGGAGAUGGGAAUUCGAAAGAAGAAGAAGAACAAGAAUUGAAGAAAGGAAAAGAAGUCGCCAUGACGCCGAGGUCCGUCAUGGAGAAGGCCAUCGCCGGGCCGCUGUACGAUAAGCUCGUCGUCUUCGACUGA